GACAGAGGGUGCAAACGUUGUUCGGAAUUACUGGGCGUAAAGCGCGUGUAGGCGGCUAAGUAAGUCGGGCGUGAAAUCCCACGGCUCAACCGUGGAAGUGCACUCGAAACUGCGAGGCUGGAGUCCUGGAGAGGAAAGCGGAAUUCUCGGUGUAGAGGUGAAAUUCGUAGAUAUCGAGAGGAACACCGGUGGCGAAGGCGGCUUUCUGGACAGUGACUGACGCUGA
rnacentral:rRNA from 1 species